rnacentral:rRNA from 1 species
UACGAAGGGUGCAAGCGUUACUCGGAAUUACUGGGCGUAAAGCGUGCGUAGGUGGUGAGUUAAGUCUGUCGUGAAAGCCCCGGGCUCAACCUGGGAAUGGCGAUGGAUACUGGCUCGCUAGAGUGCGGUAGAGGAGAGUGGAAUUCCCGGUGUAGCAGUGAAAUGCGUAGAGAUCGGGGAGGAACAUCAGUUGCGAAGGCGGCUCUCUGGACCAGCACUGACACUGAGGCACCGAAAAGCGUGGGGAGCAAACAGG